rnacentral:sRNA from 1 species
GCUGGGUAUGGUGGUGCAUGCCUGUAAUCUCAAUGACUUAGGAGGCUGAGUCAGGAGAAUUGCAAGUUCAAAGCCAGCCUCAGAAGUUUAGCAAGGCCCUAAGCAACUUAGAGAGACCCUGUCUUCA